UACGAAGGGGGCAAGCGUUGUUCGGAAUUACUGGGCGUAAAGGGCGCGUAGGCGGCCCUCUUAGUCGCGUGUGAAAGCCCCGGGCUCAACCUGGGAACGGCGCGCGAAACGGGAGGGCUGGAGUUCGGGAGAGGAGAGUGGAAUUCCCAGUGUAGAGGUGAAAUUCGUAGAUAUUGGGAAGAACACCGGUGGCGAAGGCGGCUCUCUGGACCGAGACUGACGCUGAGGCGCGAAAGCGUGGGGAGCGAACAGG
rnacentral:rRNA from 1 species